rnacentral:lncRNA from 1 species
AAUCCAGCCAUCAAUAGAUAUUUUAUUACAAUUGUAUUUUUAUUAGAAUUGCACUUCCAUGGUGGGACUGGUGGUUUAUUUUCUAUGUCUUGUUGCUUCUAACUUGGAUUAAUUAAUCUUCUUGCUGGAUAAAAUGGCUGAUUUUUCUUUGAUUCAUUCUGCCUUUUGAAACCAGUUAAAUGAUUUGCAACAAAGUAAAACAUAAACAUUGCACA